rnacentral:ncRNA from 20 species
AUUAGUAUAACUCUCCAAGCUUAAAGAUCUAAGGAGAAGGUUCUAUGAUUUUUAAGCCUGGAUUACUAAAUUAUUUAACAUUAAGUUGGUAAUCCACAGGGUAAGGUUUGAAAGAAUUUUGCCUCCACGUAUUUUGGGAAGGAGAAUAAGCAAAAGUAAA